GUGGGGAAUAUUGGACAAUGGGCGGAAGCCUGAUCCAGCCAUGCCGCGUGUGUGAAGAAGGCCUUUUGGUUGUAAAGCACUUUAAGCGAGGAGGAGGCUCCUUUAGUUAAUACCUAAAGAGAGUGGACGUUACUCGCAGAAUAAGCACCGGCUAACUCUGUGCCAGCAGCCGCGGUAAUACAGAGGGUGCGAGCGUUAAUCGGAUUUACUGGGCGUAAAGCGUGCGUAGGCGGCUUUUUAAGUCGGAUGUGAAAUCCCUGAGCUUAACUUAGGAAUUGCAUUCAAUACUGGAAAGCUAGAGUAUGGGAGAGGAUGGUAGAAUUCCAGGUGUAGCGGUGAAAUGCGUAGAGAUCUGGAGGAAUACCGAUGGCGAAGGCAGCCAUCUGGCCUAAUACUGACGCUGAGGUACGAAAGCAUGGGGAGCAAACAGGAUUAGAAACCCGGGUAGUCC
rnacentral:rRNA from 1 species